AAUCGCGGCCGGCCUUUCCCUCACCCUCCAACUGCACUGCUCACCCAGUGCCUCAAUUUCCCCAAUGGGACCAUUCCCCAACACUCCCAGAUAUCCUUUCCCUCUCACCUGAGCGGAUUUGUUACAGGGUCCGGACUGCAAGAACCUUGCGAUCAGGCAUGUGACAUAAUUAUCCCAGCGAUCACUAAAACUGUAAAUUUGGAUGCAAUUAAGAGAGAAAACUCCACACAUUUAUGGAAAUUUAAGCACAAGUCUCAAUCACCUGAAUAGAGACCACUACGGGGAAUGUCUCAGGCUACACUACCAGCAUCUUUGGACUUUAUUUCCCACUGACAUAGGCUACCAUUGGACUGAGCCAAGGGAUCCCAAUGUAAGAGUUGAGGGAAGGACUGAAGGAGCUGAAGGAAAUUGCAACCCCAUAGGAAGAACUGCAAUAUCAACUAACUGAACCCCUUCAGAGCUCCCAGGGACUAAACCACCAACCAAAGAGUAUACAUGAAUGGGUCCAUGGCUCCUGCUACAUAUGUAGCAGAGAUAGCCUUAUCUGGCAUCAAUAGGACGGGAGGCACUUGGCCCUGUGAAGGCUUGAUGCCCCAACAUAGGGGGAUGCUAGAAGGGUGAUGGAGUAGGAAUGCGUGAGUGAGUAGGGAACCACCCUCUUAGAGGCAAAGAGGAGGGGGAUGGGAUGGAAGUUUGCAGAGGAGAGUCCAGGAAGGAGGAACAACAUUUGAAAUGUAAAUGAAUAAAAUAACCAAUAAAAAUUACUGCAUCUUAUUUUAUUGUUAGAUAGUAAAGAACUUUUCCAUAUCUGCUUUGUCUUAAUAAUAGUGUUAACAAUAACAAUAAAUUAUUUUUAUGCUUUAUAUUCCUUUAUACCGACCUAGUAUGUUUGUUUCUGUUCUGAUUUGGAUAUAAAAUCACCUGGAAGGAUCCUUUAUUUAUUAACGGUUUUGUUCCCAGUUGUUGGUACUAUUGAUAUGUAAUCAGAAUAUGAAGUCCUAGCUUCGUCAAUAGGUUGAGCAGUUUAUGGUUGAGUGGACAGUCUAGACUGCCAUGAUAGAAGGAACUUUGCUCCAUUGCACUGUGUCUAAUAAUGUUCUGAUUUAUUUUGUAAUUGUGCCAUAGAAUGAAACCUCUGAAACUGUGAGCCAAAACCAUUUCUCUUCCUUUAGUAACUUUUCCCCUCAAUUUUUCAUAGUAGUAAAAAAUUGAGGUAUAAUCUACUGAAUUGAUAUUGUCAUAAGUGUUAUGACCACAUAGUAAGUUCUUAAAAUCAGGUAAUUUUUUCUCCAAUUUUGUUUCAGAAUUAUAACUAAUCUACUCUCCUUGUAUGUCUAUAAAAAUUGGGGAAUCAAUUUGCUACAUAUGUGCACUUCUUGCUGGGAUUUUUUUAUUGAAUUCAUAUUAAACGUAUGCCUUGAUUUGAAGUGAAA
rnacentral:lncRNA from 1 species